rnacentral:rRNA from 1 species
UGGGAAUUUUGGACAAUUGGGCGAAAGCCUGAUCCAGCAAUGCCGCGUGUGUGAAGAAGGCCUUCGGGUUGUAAAGCACUUUUGUCCGGAAAGAAAUCCUUGGCUCUAAUACAGUCGGGGGAUGACGGUACCGGAAGAAUAAGCACCGGCUAACUACGUGCCAGCAGCCGCGGUAAUACGUAGGGUGCAAGCGUUAAUCGGAAUUACUGGGCGUAAAGCGUGCGCAGGCGGUUUGCUAAGACCGAUGUGAAAUCCCCGGGCUCAACCUGGGAACUGCAUUGGUGACUGGCAGGGCUAGAGUAUGGCAGAGGGGGGUAGAAUUCCACGUGUAGCAGUGAAAUGCGUAGAGAUGUGGAGGAAUACCGAUGGCGAAGGCAGCCCCCUGGGCCAAUACUGACGCUCAUGCACGAAAGCGUGGGGAGCAAACAGGAUU